UACGAAGGGGGCUAGCGUUGCUCGGAAUUACUGGGCGUAAAGGGCGCGUAGGCGGAUAGUUUAGUCAGAGGUGAAAGCCCAGGGCUCAACCUUGGAAUUGCCUUUGAUACCGGCUAUCUUGAGUUCGGGAGAGGUGAGUGGAAUGCCGAGUGUAGAGGUGAAAUCCGUAGAUAUUCGGCGGAACACCAGUGGCGAAGGCGACUCACUGGCCCGAUACUGACGCUGAGGCGCGAAAGCGUGGGGAGCAAACAGG
rnacentral:rRNA from 1 species